GACGAACGCUGGCGGCGUGCUUAACACAUGCAAGUCGAACGAAGAGCGAUGGAAGCUUGCUUCUAUCAAUCUUAGUGGCGAACGGGUGAGUAACGCGUAAUCAACCUGCCCUUCAGAGGGGGACAACAGUUGGAAACGACUGCUAAUACCGCAUACGAUCUAACCUCGGCAUCGAGGAUGGAUGAAAGGUGGCCUCUAUUUAUAAGCUAUCACUGAAGGAGGGGAUUGCGUCUGAUUAGCUAGUUGGAGGGGUAACGGCCCACCAAGGCGAUGAUCAGUAGCCGGUCUGAGAGGAGGAACGGCCACAUUGGGACUGAGACACGGCCCAGACUCCUACGGGAGGCAGCAGUGGGGAAUCUUCCGCAAUGGACGAAAGUCUGACGGAGCAACGCCGCGUGAGUGAUGACGGCCUUCGGGUUGUAAAGCUCUGUUAAUCGGGACGAAAGGCCUUCUUGCGAAUAGUUAGAAGGAUUGACGGUACCGGAAUAGAAAGCCACGGCUAACUACGUG
rnacentral:rRNA from 1 species